GGUGAAUGCUGGCGGCGUGGAUAAGUCAUGCAAGUCAAGGGGGCCCGCAAGGGCAACCGGCAAACGAGGUAGUAACACGUAGGUAGACCCCCCAGAGUCGGGCAUAGCCAGCCGAAAGGUUGGGUAAUUCCCGAUAGUCCCGAAAGGGUAAAGGUUUUUCGCUCUGGGAGUUGCCUGCGUAGUAUCAGCUAGUUGGUAGGGUAAUGGCCUACCAAGGCUACGACGCUUAGGGGAGCUGAGAGGCUGACCCCCACGAUGGGACUGCGACACGGUCCAUACUCCUACGGGAGGCUGCAGACGAGAAUAUUCCGCAAUGGGCGAAAGCCUGACGGAGCGACGCCGCGUGAUUGAUGAAGUGCUUCGGGUACGUAAAGAUCUUUUAUCGGGGACGAAGUUUAUUGACGGUACCCGAUGAAUAAGGGGCUCCUAACUCUGUGCCAGCAGCCGCGGUAAU
rnacentral:rRNA from 1 species